AAACCGUGAUUAGGGCAAUCCCUAGUGUACUCCUUGAAACGUUCCAAUGCUUCAAAGAAUGACUUUGUGCUU
rfam:Arabis alpina cultivar Pajares chromosome 7, whole genome shotgun sequence.